rnacentral:rRNA from 1 species
UCAUCUCCGGGGGUAGAGCACUGUUUCGGCAAGGGGGUCAUCCCGACUUACCAACCCGAUGCAAACUGCGAAUACCGGAGAAUGUUAUCACGGGAGACACACGGCGGGUGCUAACGUCCGUCGUGAAGAGGGAAACAACCCAGACCGCCAGCUAAGGUCCCAAAGUCAUGGUUAAGUGGGAAACGAUGUGGGAAGGCCCAGACAGCCAGGAUGUUGGCUUAGAAGCAGCCAUCAUUUAAAGAAAGCGUAAUAGCUCACUGGUCGAGUCGGCCUGCGCGGAAGAUGUAACGGGGCUAAACCAUGCACCGAAGCUGCGGCAGCGACNNNNNNNNNNNNNNNNNNNNNNNNNNNNNNNNNNNNNNNNNNNNNNNNNNNNNNNNNAUGCUGGAGGUAUCAGAAGUGCGAAUGCUGACAUAAGUAACGAUAAAGCGGGUGAAAAGCCCGCUCGCCGGAAGACCAAGGGUUCCUGUCCAACGUUAAUCGGGGCAGGGUGAGUCGACCCCUAAGGCGAGGCCGAAAGGCGUAGUCGAUGGGAAACAGGUUAAUAUUCCUGUACUUGGUGUUACUGCGAAGGGGGGACGGAGAAGGCUAUGUUGGCCGGGCGACGGUUGUCCCGGUUUAAGCGUGUAGGCUGGUUUUCCAGGCAAAUCCGGAAAAUCAAGGCUGAGGCGUGAUGACGAGGCACUACGGUGCUGAAGCAACAAAUGCCCUGCUUCCAGGAAAAGCCUCUAAGCAUCAGGUAACAUCAAAUCGUACCCCAAACCGACACAGGUGGUCAGGUAGAGAAUACCAAGGCGCUUGAGAGAACUCGGGUGAAGGAACUAGGCAAAAUGGUGCCGUAACUUCGGGAGAAGGCACGCUGAUAUGUAGGUGAGGUCCCUCGCGGAUGGAGCUGAAAUCAGUCGAAGAUACCAGCUGGCUGCAACUGUUUAUUAAAAACACAGCACUGUGCAAACACGAAAGUGGACGUAUACGGUGUGACGCCUGCCCGGUGCCGGAAGGUUAAUUGAUGGGGUUAGCGGUAACGCGAAGCUCUUGAUCGAAGCCCCGGUAAACGGCGGCCGUAACUAUAACGGUCCUAAGGUAGCGAAAUUCCUUGUCGGGUAAGUUCCGACCUGCACGAAUGGCGUAAUGAUGGCCAGGCUGUCUCCACCCGAGACUCAGUGAAAUUGAACUCGCUGUGAAGAUGCAGUGUACCCGCGGCAAGACGGAAAGACCCCGUGAACCUUUACUAUAGCUUGACACUGAACAUUGAGCCUUGAUGUGUAGGAUAGGUGGGAGGCUUUGAAGUGUGGACGCCAGUCUGCAUGGAGCCGACCUUGAAAUACCACCCUUUAAUGUUUGAUGUUCUAACGUUGACCCGUAAUCCGGGUUGCGGACAGUGUCUGGUGGGUAGUUUGACUGGGGCGGUCUCCUCCUAAAGAGUAACGGAGGAGCACGAAGGUUGGCUAAUCCUGGUCGGACAUCAGGAGGUUAGUGCAAUGGCAUAAGCCAGCUUGACUGCGAGCGUGACGGCGCGAGCAGGUGCGAAAGCAGGUCAUAGUGAUCCGGUGGUUCUGAAUGGAAGGGCCAUCGCUCAACGGAUAAAAGGUACUCCGGGGAUAACAGGCUGAUACCGCCCAAGAGUUCAUAUCGACGGCGGUGUUUGGCACCUCGAUGUCGGCUCAUCACAUCCUGGGGCUGAAGUAGGUCCCAAGGGUAUGGCUGUUCGCCAUUUAAAGUGGUACGCGAGCUGGGUUUAGAACGUCGUGAGACAGUUCGGUCCCUAUCUGCCGUGGGCGCUGGAGAACUGAGGGGGGCUGCUCCUAGUACGAGAGGACCGGAGUGGA